GUUGGGGCUCCAGGGCCCAGCAGGGACAGCCCUAACACGUCUGUCCAGAAACCGCCACCUCCCCGCGGCCAGGGGCUCCGGUCCUCGGCUCCUCAGCCCCUGGCACCCGGCUGGCUGCUGGAGGGGCCCGGGGCGCCGCCCCCGUGCGGCUGGGGUGUAAGGAGGGCUCUGAGCUGGAGCUGUGACAAGCGGACACAGGACAGACAGUGCUCUGCCUCUUCUCCCCACCGGGAGGGGCGGGCCAUUCCCACCCGCGGGGCAACCCAGGCUCUCCUGGCCCGGAGACGGCGGCCCAGACCUCGCCGAAACAGCCUCGCCUCCCAGCACCUUCCCCGUGGACUAGCCUUCCCGUCUGUGCGGCCCCCGGCCACACGACGUCCCUUUCCCUCGUGCUGUCCCCGCCCCACGGCUGUGCUGCUCUGAGACGCAGAGGCAGCCUGAGUGCUGGCCGCCUGCUGAGCUAGGUGCUGGCCUUGUGUGUGGUGCUGGAGGCCGUGGCCUGUCCAUCUCCCUGUGCAUCUGCCUGGAGCCGGCCGGGUCUGCAGAGCCCGGCGGGUGGCUGAAGGUGGGCAGAGCAGCUCAGGUGCCCUGGGGGUGGGCGAGCAGCCCCAGCUCUCAGAAAAGCCCUCGUCUGGGGUGCUAGCUCUGGAGACUGGCCUGCUUUUCUGGGGCAACCUCGAGAAUCCUCUGGAAAGUGGAAGGGUGGGAAGAGAACCAAACUUUGUUGAUCAAACAAACAGACAGACGGGGGCCCCUCAGAGCCCCCAAAGGCACCAGCUGCCUCCACAGCGGCGGACCCUCCCCCUGGCCGUCCUCGCCUUCGGCUGAGCCAGGCGGGGGGAGGAGGUGGCAGGUGGCAGGCUGGCGGCCGACAGGAGGCCCCAGGGACCGGCUUCCGCGGGCCUCCAGGGUCUUCAAGGACACGAGGUGCGAGGAGAGACGCCCAGUGUCCCCACGUGCAGCAGCCCCCCAAACACCGGAGCAAGCCCAGGCCGCAGCCCAGCUUGUAAGGAAGCCCCAGCAAGGCUCCAGUGAGGAGGCCGGGGCCGGGGCGUCCGUGAGACGGGGAGGGGGCAGUCCCCUGCGCAGCAGGAGGCGUCUCCACGGGUGCAGACGCCGGGACACAGCGACGCCGACUCCAGACAGUGUCUUCGGUUCCCGCCCAGCGGCCGUCUGUCCUCCGGUCAUCGCACCCGCUCUCGUCACCUCGCAGACCGCGGGUUGGGACACGAGGUGGCUCGGCUCCGCGCAAAGACAGAGGUGGAGCUGGAGCACACCAGCAAAGGUACUGACAUUUCAGGACUUGAGUGCCAGGCGGGAACGCCAAAGCCGCAGACGGCAAAGGAAAAGGUGAGCUGCGAUCACCGUCGCGGAAAAGGUCUUCAGGAUACAUGUAAGUGUCCGGGAGUCACUUCAAACGUGUCGGUCACUGUGUCCUCUUCGCGUGGCCGUUUGGGGGUCCACCCCUGAACUCCCGGACGAGACCGAAGGGACACACGGGGUCCUGCCCACCUCACCCGGGCCUUUCAGGUCUGGUCCUCGCGGUCCGAUUCCGCAGCUGCCAACUUUAAUGCAAAACUAAGAAGACUUACGAAUGUGAAAUGGGCCGGAGCCGUCUUACUGCUUUCGUCCCAACUCCAGCCUGGAAGCACCUGCCGCAACCGUCAGAGUGACGCGAUUGGUUAGAGACACACCGGGUGCGGUGUCCAGCCCCCGCCCCCCAGCCUCGCCACGCGAGGGCGCGUCCCGGGAGUCUGAGCUGCUCUGACUACCGACACGCCCCACCCAGUAGCGCGACCCUUGAUAACCUCUGUGAUCCUCCGAGAGGGCAGGGUGGCUUUGGCCAAAAGAUGGGCGCUCGUGAAGUGCCUUCUCCACUCCACCUCCGCCCCGUCACCCUGUUCACGCAGACCACUGCUGACUAGUCUCCCGGCGCCAAGCGGAAUCGUGGCCCCCCGCGUUGGCCGAGCCCCAGGAUAACAGGGGGGCCUGGAACGCGACCCCUUCGGACCACGAGCGUCGGACCAGCGCUGGGCCGCAGGCGACACGCACACAGGAGAACUGAAUGAG